UACAUUACUCAAAUGUUUGUAAUAUACCAUGUGAUAUAUUCUAUAUAUUAUAAGACAAUCUGUAUCUGAUUAACUUGUAUGUAAACGUUUUGUUUUUGUUUUGUAUUGUGAGCUUCAAGCUUUGUGUGUUUUCUGUACCACAGUCAGGGCUGUUUUCCUGUUGUGAUGGGAGGGUUGUUGGGUGUAGACGUCUUUCACACGUGAUUUUAAGCACUUUCCAAAGAGUAACUUACAUUAUCUCUUACAUUAUCUCUUACAUUAUCUAUGACAGUAAUAAUUUACAGUAAUAAUUUGGACCUUUAUUUUUUGUUGUUCAGUUGAACUUUGAUACAAACACAACUACUAUACUAUGAUCAGGUGUGGAGCCUGACUUCCUGCUCUAUACUAUGAUCAGGUAUGGGGCCUGACUUCCUGCACUUCCUGAGGAUGAUGUCAUACUUUCACUUUCAGCUGCUUGUCUCCCCUCUGGCAGGACCAGUCCAAAUAUAACAUGAAGGAUCCAUUGGCCUAGUGUGAGACCAUGAAAACCGUGAGGUAUCAUGGGUAAAUUGUGACUGACUGAUGUACAAAUAAUAUUAAGUAGUUAUUUAUGAUGCAAGGUGGUUUGUAGAUCAGUCAAGUCUCGUCUUUAAAUUCGGCGGCCAUGUCUAACGGUCCCAUUUUGUUUUUCUGGGCGGGAACAUACAUAGACCAUGUUACAUACAUGAUAUAUACACAUAGACCAUGUAUGAUUUAGUUGUAUUACCAUAGUGAUGAGACUUUUCUCCUGUAACUUUCACAGGAGUGUUUAUUUAUGAAUCCUUUUGUAUCAAAGAAAUACAUUGGAACAACCAAAACAACUGAGCCGCCCCAAAUAUAAAAGGAACAUUGUUAAUAUGAUUUGUUGAUAUGUUUUCAUUAAUUACUAAAGCAAUACUCUUUUAUAAGGUCAUUGUUAUUAUAUUGACAUCACAAAUGCAGAAUGUGUGGAUUAAGACGUGUUUUCUAAUUCUUUCAUCAACACACAUACGCAUUACUUUUUGUAAAUAAAUGUAUGGAGCUGUUCUGUUUCUCUGUAUAGUUGUACAGAGUAAAUGUGAUACAGCCUGGGAUUGAACCCGGGUCUGUAGUGACGUCUCUAGCACUGAGAGGCAGUACCAUAGAACGCUAUGUCACCCAGGAGGCUAUAGUGGACUACUCCUGACCGUGAUCCAUAGUCCACUGUUAGGAUAGAAGAUAGAAGAGCUGUGUCACAUGUCAAGGUGUCUGUAUUCUUCUGACUGGGUUUUGAAACUGUCACAAUAUCACCCCCCCAAAAAAAUGGAACUUUUGUAUAUUGUGAAUGAACUGG
ensembl:lncRNA